rnacentral:rRNA from 1 species
GACGAACGCUGGCGGCGUGCUUAACACAUGCAAGUCGAACGGUAAGGCCCUUCGGGGUACACGAGUGGCGAACGGGUGAGUAACACGUGGGUGAUCUGCCCUGCACUUCGGGAUAAGCCUGGGAAACUGGGUCUAAUACCGGAUAGGACCACUGCCUGCAUGGGUGGUGGUGGAAAGCUUUUGCGGUGGGGGAUGGGCCCGCGGCCUAUCAGCUUGUUGGUGGGGUGAUGGCCUACCAAGGCGACGACGGGUAGCCGGCCUGAGAGGGGGACCGGACACAGUGGGACGGAGAUACGGCCCAGACUCCGACGGGAGGCAGCAGUGGGGAAUAUUGCACAAUGGGCGCAAGCCUGAUGCAGCGACGCCGCGUGAGGGAUGACGGCCUUCGGGUUGUAAACCUCUUUCAGCACCGACGAAGCGCAAGUGACGGUAGGUGCAGAAGAAGGACCGGCCAACUACGUGCCAGCCGCCGCAGUAA